rnacentral:ncRNA from 2 species
AGCUUUGGCGCGUCGAACGGUUUCCGGCCGCUGCCGGAAUGAAAAGGGAACGCCGUCAUAAAGCGGCGACUGCCCCCGCAACUGUAGGCGGCGAGCCUGCCACCGCGUUCUUGCUCGGCCACUGGGCUCGCCCGGGAAGGCCAUGCGGUGCCAGGCAGCGACCCGCAAGUCAGGAGACCUGCCGCUCGACGGGUAACAAA